rnacentral:rRNA from 1 species
ACCUACGGGACGCAGCAGUUAGGGAUAUUCGUCAAUGGGGGAAACCCUGAACGAGCAAUGCCGCGUGAAUGAAGACGGUCCUAUGGAUUGUAAAAUUCUGUUGUUAGGGACGAACGACCGUAGUAGGAAAUGACUACGGAGUGACGGUACCUUUCAAGAAAGCUCCGGCUAACUACGUGCCAGCAGCCGCGGUAAUACGUAGGUGGCGAGCGUUGUCCGGAAUUACUGGGUGCAAA